rnacentral:lncRNA from 10 species
UUGCAGGCUUAAUGCCACUGUGCAUAGCUUGAGUAAUCUUUCCUGUACUUGAGGAUAGGUCCUGAGCUUGCUGUCUUAGGACCCAUUUUGACAAUUCAUGUGAGUUUUCAUAUGUUCUUGUGUUCACGCAUCUCGGAUUGUAUCCUUAAAAUGGGGCACGGUUUUGCAUUUAGUGUGCCAAAUUCAGGAGGGGAGGAAACUUGAAUUCCACUUCUGGAUCUACCACUUUCCAUCUGACCUUGGAUUAAUGGCUUUACUUCCUUGCUUCAGUGUUCUCUUCUGUGGAGAGGGAAUGUUACCCACCUUUUUGAUUCUAGGACUUUUAGAGUAAUGCAACAGAAGGCUUUUGAGGAAAGCAGAUAUCCCUGGCAGGAGUCCUUUGAGAAUGUUGCUGUGUGCCUGCCAUUACGCUGCCCGAGGUGUGGAGACCAUACCAGAUUUAGAAGCUUGUCAUCCUUGAGGGCCCAUCUGGAGUUCAGUCACAGCUAC